UUCUUUUUGCUAAAAAAAAAAAUAUUUAAUUAGCAGUUGUAAGAUUCAUGAAAAUGUUAAUUGAAACUUCAACAACUACCAACCAAGAUGGUGCAAAAACAAGAUCAAUUUACUCUUAAUUAUAUAUAAAGUACGGCAGGGCAAUCGACAACGGUAAAUAACUAAUUAUCAACUCCCUCAAAACAAGGAAAGAUCAUAUUCCAACAUAGUUUCAAUUUGGUGAUGCAGCAUCCUUGAUCUCAUCCUUAGCUAGGAAGACACUAGUAAGAGCUGCUUUUGACUGGAGAGAAGCCUUCAACAAUUCCAGACCCUCAUCAAUACCAAACUCAACCAUCUUCUCAUUAAGUGCGCUAAAACCCUUAACACUAAACUUGUUCAGCAGAGCAACACCAGAGACCAUUGACAAUGGUGACACUGACAAAUCAUCAGUCACCAUGUAUGUAACCAGGCCCUUCACCAAACCUCCCUCACUAUUACUAGUUGCUGUAUCACUAGCUGAUGUAUUAUUUGUAUUGGUGCCAAUAAACGGCAGUUCAUAAGUCAUUGAA
rnacentral:misc_RNA from 1 species